GGGCGAUGAGGUAGAGGGUCCUCCGGCUCUCCCAGGGUGCGGCGCCAGGUACUGCUGCCACCCUAGGCUGCUAAGAAGGCCCUAGAGCCGUCGCCCCGCCUCGCACCAAUCCCAGCCCAGGUAGGCUCCGAAGAGUCCAAUCACCGUCCGAGAGGGGUGGGCCUCGCCGCUCGGAUCCGCGCCGCCCUCCAGAGGGACAUCGCUGCCAUCCAAUAAGCUCAGCUGGAGAAAUGCAUCACUGGCUUAAGAUGCUUGCCAUGAUAGCAUAAGGAGUGGACUUGAGAUCCCCAAAAGCCUACAUAAAUGUCGGAUUUCACGUUUUAAGGUAAAGAGGGAAGGAGAAGAAGAAAGAAACAAACAGCAUGACAGCAUUCUCCUAUCACCACAGCAAGCCUUCUCACAGGAAGAAAACUGAUUCUGGAAGAUGAUGUUACUUCCCAAAGGGCAUGAAGUUGUUUAACUUGAGACGUACCUACCUCUGAUCCUUAAACUCUUCCACUGUGUGGAACUGUUGCAGAUGGCCCGUGUGAACAUGCUACACUCUAAGUUCCCACCGCCAUGAACCAAGCUGUGCCAGACAUCAUGCCUUCCAUGCCAUGAUGGAACUAUGAGCCAAAAAUAAAGGUCUUCUUUAAGUUGCUUCCAUCAAGAGUUUUGUCAGAGUGAUGUCAAAAGUAGCUAAUACAAGUGACCUAAUACAGCAUUUUCUAAUAGGAAAAGAAUGUGAGAUUAUGUUGCUGAAGAUGCCACAUGUUUUGGACACAGAACUUGGAGGAAUCAAGCUGGAACUAACCUGGAAGUCUCCUCCCUGAGGAUUAGGUCUCAUAGCAUUGGAAGGUACUAUGCAAGCUACCAAAGGAGAAAGUCCUACCCAGACAGAAAGCCUAUGAACUACAACAGUGGCCCACCCAAGUAAGAUAUCUCCAAUGGUGCAAUCAUGACACCGUUAUCUUUGGGGUAGCCAACAGCUAUCUAAAUAGACUUAUGGCCCACUCAAUAGGAAGGAAUUCAUGUGUGAUACUGCAAACCUAACCAACCACCAAUAGCUAUAAGUCAUAGAUCCUAGAAAAGAACCUGUU